AUCCAGGUGUGAGAACAUCCGAUCGCGAGCAGCCCUUUGGUAUUCUCAAACUACAGUAUGCAAAAUGGAACUGCUUUCGAAAAACACUGUUUCCUUCCAGUGCAGUCUUCUUUUUUUGCCACCCAAGCUCCGUUUCAAGUCCGGUGAUGAGGUAUAUUAUGCUCCGCAGGCCGCGAAAGAGAGCCCGUUACCUGGACCCCUACUCGCGCGGGUAGAGCGAAACUGAGCACCCUGGGAUGCGAGCAGCUUUUUAGUACUCCCGGGUCCAAAAUCUCACCACCAGGCCGGGAUGAUCAAAACGUCUGCCGGGACUGCAGCCUACAAACGUGGAUCUGCCGACACUGUGCUGUCGACGACAUGUCCGGCAAGGCACCUCCUUGCGUGAAAGCAAGGAACGCUUUUUUUUUUAGAAAGGAAGCUUCUUCUCCAAAAUUUAAAAUUUUUGAAAAUUAUUCCUUCUGAAAAUAUCAUCGCGUUCUUGACCUCGAAGCUGACUGCUGAAUGCGAUUAGGAAAGAAGAUUCCUGAAGAUACACCAGACUGAUUCUGGCAAGCCGUCUGUCGUCUAGAUAUGCAGUUGUUCGUCAUGCAUGGUCAGCAAUCUUCCUCGUUCGUCCUUUCGUUUUCCUGACCACGAUGAUGACAAGCAGCUCUCAUGCUCAGGAUUGCCAUCUGUUGAUGAAUACCACUCUGAGGCACUCUCACGAGCGAAGGUGUUUGAGAAUCCAUGUCGGAAUGAUGGUCAUGUUGGCCUAAAGGUGCAUUACAUUGCCGAUACUCGCCACCUCCACCCUGGAACAUGUUCAAUUUCUGUUUCUCGUAUGGAAGGACCGAACAGGUUGUUUUCCUGUCUCAGUGGACCACUCAAGACUGAACAGCACUGAUGGAAGAAGAUUUGCCGUGAAUCUCGUUCACAUAAUCAGCCUGUUUAAUUGCUGUACUGAGGUGACUGCUUCAUAACAAUGACCAUGCAGCAUUAAUUUUGGAUAGUAUUGCAGUGCCCCUAAAAUUGGAGAAUAUCGAAUUUCUCUGAUAGCAUUGUGAUUCAUUUGUGAAUAAACAUCACUACUCUUUUUGAGUAGCAUAGCAAUGACAGAGUUGGUUUAAUGUAUGACAAAAUGGAGCCGCUUUUUAA